rnacentral:rRNA from 1 species
AGAGUUUGAUCCUGGCUCAGGACGAACGCUGGCGGCGUGCUUAACACAUGCAAGUCGCGGGGGGUGAGCAAUCACUCACCGGCGAACGGGUGCGUAACACGUGAGCGACCUGCCCACUUGUGGGGUAUAGCCGGCCCAACGGCCGGGUAAUACCGCGUACGACCUCUCGGGGACAUCCCCGGGUGGUGAAAGCAGCAAUGCACCGAAAGAGUGCCUCGCGGCCUAUCAGCUAGUUGGUGGGGUAACGGCUCACCAAGGCGACGACGGGUAGCUGGUCUGAGAGGAUGGCCAGCCACAUUGGGACUGAGACACGGCCCAGACUCCUACGGGAGGCAGCAGUGGGGAAUAUUGCGCAAUGGGCGAAAGCCUGACGCAGCGACGCCGCGUGUGGGAUGACGGCCUUCGGGUUGUAAACCACUGUCGGGAGGGACGAAUGCGCCGCAAGGCGAGUGACGGUACCUCCAAAGGAAGCACCGGCUAACUCCGUGCCAGCAGCCGCGGUAAUACGGAGGGUGCGAGCGUUGUCCGGAAUCACUGGGCGUAAAGGGCGCGUAGGCGGCCUGGUAAGUAGGGGGUGAAAUCCUGCGGCUUAACCGCAGGGCUGCCUUCUAAACUGUCAGGCUCGAGCACGGUAGAGGCAGAUGGAAUUCCCGGUGUAGCGGUGAAAUGCGUAGA